rnacentral:rRNA from 1 species
AUUGAACGCUGGCGGCAGGCCUAAUACAUGCAAGUCGAACGGUAACAUAAGAAAAGCUUGCUUUUCUUGAUGACGAGUGGCGGACGGGUGAGUAAUAUUUGGGAAACUACCUGAUAGAGGGGGACAACAGUUGGAAACGACUGCUAAUGCCGCAUACAGCCUCAGGGUGAAAGAAGCGAUUCGCUAUCAGAUGUGCCCAAACGGGAUUAGCUAGUAGGUGAGGUAAAGGCUCACCUAGGCGACGAUCUCUAGCUGGUCUGAGAGGAUGAUCAGCCACAUUGGGACUGAGACACGGCCCAGACUCCUACGGGAGGCAGCAGUAGGGAAUAUUGCAAAAUGGAGGAAAAUCUGAUGCAGCCAUGCCGCGUGUGUGAAGAAGGCCUUCGGGUUGUAAAGCACUUUCGGAGGGGAGGAAGAAAAUGACGUUACCCUCAGAAGAAGCACCGGCUAACUCCGUGCCAGCCGCCGCAGUAA